UACGGGAGGCAGCAGUGGGGAAUCUUAGACAAUGGGCGCAAGCCUGAUCUAGCCAUGCCGCGUGUGUGAUGAAGGUCUUAGGAUCGUAAAGCACUUUCGCCAGGGAUGAUAAUGACAGUACCUGGUAAAGAAACCCCGGCUAACUCCGUGCCAGCAGCCGCGGUAAUACGGAGGGGGUUAGCGUUGUUCGGAAUUACUGGGCGUAAAGCGUACGUAGGCGGAUCAGAAAGUUAGGGGUGAAAUCCCGAGGCUCAACCUCGGAACUGCCUCUAAAACUCCUGGUCUUGAGUUCGAGAGAGGUGAGUGGAAUUCCAAGUGUAGAGGUGAAAUUCGUAGAUAUUUGGAGGAACACCAGUGGCGAAGGCGGCUCACUGGCUCGAUACUGACGCUGAGGUACGAAAGUGUGGGGAGCAAACAGGAUUAGAUACCCUGGUAGUCCACACCGUAAACGAUGAAUGCCAGUCGUCGGGCAGUAUACUGUUCGGUGACACACCUAACGGAUUAAGCAUUCCGCCUGGGGAGUACGGUCGCAAGAUUAAAACUNAAANGAAUUGACGGGG
rnacentral:rRNA from 1 species